GAUGAACGCUGGCGGCGUGCCUAAUACAUGCAAGUCGAGCGAACGGACGAGAAGCUUGCUUCUCUGAUGUUAGCGGCGGACGGGUGAGUAACACGUGGAUAACCUACCUAUAAGACUGGGAUAACUUCGGGAAACCGGAGCUAAUACCGGAUAAUAUAUUGAACCGCAUGGUUCAAUAGUGAAAGACGGUUUUGCUGUCACUUAUAGAUGGAUCCGCGCCGCAUUAGCUAGUUGGUAAGGUAACGGCUUACCAAGGCAACGAUGCGUAGCCGACCUGAGAGGGUGAUCGGCCACACUGGAACUGAGACACGGUCCAGACUCCUACGGGAGGCAGCAGUAGGGAAUCUUCCGCAAUGGGCGAAAGCCUGACGGAGCAACGCCGCGUGAGUGAUGAAGGUCUUCGGAUCGUAAAACUCUGUUAUUAGGGAAGAACAAAUGUGUAAGUAACUAUGCACGUCUUGACGGUACCUAAUCAGAAAGCCACGGCUAACUACGUG
rnacentral:rRNA from 1 species